rnacentral:lncRNA from 1 species
GGUAAGACACAUGGCGGCGCAUCUCUUAACUCAUCCUUGACUACAUUCAUCCAUAAAACUCUUUCUCCACACACACACAUACUUCCCCUCUUUCUCAGUAAAAAAUGCAAAAGGAAAAAAGUGGGAAAACUCACUUUAUGAGAGCGAGAGAACACGCAGGGGAGGGAGUUUUUCUUCUUCACUUUUCAUCACCACAUACUCCUUUCAACUACACCACAAAACAACCACAACAUAUCCUUCAUACAAUCUCCUCCAUAACUUUCUUUAAUCACUUUCACUCUUCCAAAAAACCAUCCACACCAUUGAAACCAUGCCUAAACUACACGACAACUCCGACAUCACACCUUCAACAACUUGUUUCUGUUUCCGAUCGUCGUUCGCCGUAUAAAUGUUUGUUACGUUUUUCUUCUUGACUUAUCUCGCGUUACUGUUUUUGCAUUUUUUACUACUUAUUUUUAUUUUCAGUUUGUUGUAUUUGACAAUGAGAGUAUGUAGAUGUCUUGAUCAUUAUUUGUUUUGAUAUAUAGUUUUUUUAUCAUGCACAUAUAUGUUUUAUGGAUAUAAACAUAUAUGUUUUGAUUAUAUAUAUAUAUAUAUAUAUAUAUAUAAUAUAUAUAUAUAAUAUAUAUAUAUAUAUAAUAUAUAUAUAUAUAUAUAAUAUAUAAUAUAUAUUAUAUAUAUAAAAUAUAAUAUAUCUAUAUAUAUAUAUAUAUAUAUAUAUAUAUAUAUAUAUAUAUAUAUUAUAUAUAUUAUUUGGGUCUUUGGAGUUUUUUUUGGCAUUAUAAGUAUGUAUAUAUAUUUCUCCUUUUGUAUCAAUUUCCCAUAAUAUAUUAUACUUUCAGAUUUCAAGUUUGUAUAUACAUAUACAUUGUGGUUUAAAAUUUAUUUCAAUUUUUACUUGAUGGUUUUUAGUUUUAUAUAUAUAUAUAUACUGCAUUUCUUUUUCUAGUUAUAUAUUAUACUUUUGUUUUAAUUUUACCGUUGUUUCAAAUUAUAUAUAAUAUAUAUAUAUAUUAUUAUAUAUAUAUAUAUAUAUAUAUAUAUAUAUAUAUAUAUAUAUAUAUAUAUAUAUAUAUAUAUAUAUAAUAUAUAUAUAUUAUGUUGUGUUGAUUUUGUUUUUAUUAUAUAUUUAUAAAUUUUUAAUACUUUUAUAUUUUAUUUAUAUUUAAUUUUAUUUUAUAUACAGUUUUUUUUAAGAAAAAAUAAUAUAUACCGGUUAGUUAUUUUUAGUUAGUUUUAUAAUAUGUAUAUAUUUUCAGAUUUUUAAGUUUAUAUAUUAUUGUUGUCGAUUUGAAUUAUUUACAUAUACUUUCUGUUUUUUUUUUCUUUUUGUUUUAUAUAUAUAUAUAUAUAUAUAUAUAUAUAUAUAUAUAUAUAUAUAUAUAUAUAUAUAAAUAUAUAUAUAUAUAUUAUAUAUAAUAUAUAUAUAUAUAUUAUAUAUAUAUAUAUAUUAUAUAUAUAUAUAUAUAUAUAUAUAUAUAUAUAUAUAUAUUAUAUAUAUAUAUAUAUACAUUUUUGGUUCUUUGGUUAUAUAUAUAGUAUGAUAUUAUUGUAACGCUUCUUUAAUAAUAUUUGGUAGUUGCAUUGACUUUAUUGUGUUGCGAUCUCGAAGUUAAAAUUCAAUUUAACCUUCGAAAAUCGUUAGGAUACAUAUAUUUGGUUGCUCGGCUUCUUAUAAAGUGAUUCCUACAUAAAUCCAUUUUAAGUUAGCUUAGAGCUAAAUUCAGUUGCUUUCAAAUUCGGUUGGUUUCCGGUCCCGUUGCUUACUCUUGGGCCUUCUUACAAUGAGUUCUUGAUAAAUAUCAAGUUAUUUUUCAAAAUCUCACCAACUCAAAUUAUUUUCAAAAACCAUUCUCUUAAAUAAAAUAUGAAGAAAAAGAUCACCCUGGAUGGAAUAUCCAGUCGUAAUCUCGAAUAUUAGGCUCAAGUUGUAAGAGCUUGUAAGCCUUAUGUAUUCGUCUUCUCUUCAAAACACUUGUAAUUAUUCAAGACAUUUCCCUAAGUGAAUCCGAAGAAAAAGAUUACCUGGAUGAAAUAUUCAGUCGUAAUCCCGACUAUUAGGCACAAGUUGUAAGAGCUUGCAAGCCAUAAGUAUUCGUCUUCUCUUCAAAAUUCUUGUAAAUAUUCAAAUUUCUUUUCUCAAUAAAAUCGGAAGAAAAAGAUUACCUGGAUGAAAUAUCCAGUCGUAAUCCCGAAUAUUAGGCCCAAGUUGUAAGAGCUUGUAAGUCUUAAGUUUGUCUUCUCUUCUAAAACACUUGUAAAUAUUCAAAUCAUUUUCAUAAUUAAAAUUGGAAGAAAAAGAUUGCCUGGGUGAAAGGUCAAAAUGUAGUCCCGAGUAUUAGACCCAAGUUGUAAGAGCUUGCAAGUCAUAAAUACUCGUCUUUCAAACCCAAAAAUACUUUCAACCAAUCAAACUUUUUUUCGCCGUCGUGCGAUCCAUCAGGAAAACCUUUUCAUAAACGAAAGAAAUCUUGUCUUAAGGUGAUUUAAAGCAAUGCUUCGUCCAUAAUUGUUGAGUUGAGAUAAGUGACGUCUUUCCGAAUGUUGAUUUCUAAAUCCAUUCGAUGUGUGGUUUACAUCCGCUCCUCAUCUGUUUUGGGUAAAACAAUGUUUUUCAUCGAUUAAUACAAUAUAGCUUUCGCUAAAUUCGACCAACACAUAAACAUUUUCUAUCUAGAACUACGUAAGCCUUGAGUUCUCUAUUGAGGUACGUAGGAGCAGGAUUGCAAAAUCUUGUCAGGCCCAUUAAUAAAAAACUUAGGUUUAGUCCCCUUUGUUGCAAAAAUCCAAAAACAUCUUCUCUUUUCUUUUGAUCCUAUUAUUCUUUCCCUCAUAAUAACUUGAGAAUCCUAACACUUCAAGCUAACACUAACGCGCAUAAUUAACCUAAUGGUUCCCGUUGAGUACAACGGACGUGAGUGGUGCUAAUACCUUCCACUUGCGUAAUCGACUCCCGAACCCUGAUAUUGGUUGCGACGACCAUAAUCAUUGUCGUUCUUUCUUGGGUUUUAUCGAUAUUUCCUAUUUCCUUUUUAGGAAUAAAUAAAGUUCGGUGGCGACUCUGUUCAGUCCAUCAUGCGAGUGUGCGAUUGCGCUUCGCUAAGUCGUGCUCUCAUUUUUCGAGGUGCGACAGAUGGCGACUCUGCUGGGGACAAUGUUGUUUCCCUAAGUGAGUCAAGCCUAGUUAGGUCGUUUGUGUGACUUUGUUUGUUUACUUGUGUGGCUUUUCUUUAUUGUUUUUGCUAUCUUUGUUGUCAUAUUGAUAAAAUCUGUUGUAUUGGUUCCACUAUGCUUUGGUACUUGGAUACUCUGAUUGCAAACCUUGUGGGAAAAACUUUUUACCCGAGCCUCGAGUAAAAACAUAAGAUAGGACGAGGUUGAGUAGUGCGGGUCUGCGAGAUGAAUUUCUCGUUGGGUCAGUACGAGAACCUCACUUAGAGUAGAUCCUUUGGAGGAUGUUGUUGCUCGGCAAGUAAGUUGCCAUAAGCUUCGAUAUUUUCAUAAGGAUCCAUGACUCUAAGGACCAUUUGUAGAACCUUAAUCAUGUGUCCAACUAGGAAAGAUGGUUGCGUAGUAUGGGUCUACGAGAUGAAUUUCUCGUUGGAUCGAUGCGAGAACCUCACUUAGAGUAGAUUCUUUGGAUGGAGUUGAUGCCCGACAAGUAAGUUGCCAUAGGCAGCAAACAGUCUAAUGGAUCCAUGACUCUAGGAAAGAUCGAUGCGAGAACCUCACUUAGAGUAGAUUCUUUGGAUGGAGUUGAUGCCCGACAAGUAAGUUGCCAUAGGCAGCAAACAGUCUAAUGGAUCCAUGACUCUAGGAACUUUUUUGAAACCCUAGAUUACCCGGUGAGAACCUAUUCUUGGAAAACAAUCAGAUUCAUCAGUACCUCAAACUUUUGAACCCGUGUAUUGAAAAAAAAAACAAAUAUGCAUGGCUUACAUUGCAUUCAUUUACAUUCCAUUGCAUCUGCAUCUCAUCAUAAUGCAUGUCAUUUUCCAGACAAAAUACAAAAAAAACUCAUCCAUCCUUUGUCCAUAAUCUGCAAAGUGAUUCCUGACACGCGUCUAGAACAAAGAACCAUGUCUCAAGAGAUGAUGGACGAGCUAAGGAAAAGUCAAGAAGCAUUGAAGGAGGAACUCAAUAUUUUGAAGAGCCAAAUGGGAUGGGUCGUGGAAACCCUGUAAGCCUUAUUGAGAAAAGAGGAUCAUCACAUACUUAUUGUUGCAACAGAGGGAGCUACGGCUCCACAUCCAUCAGGUGUUACCCUGAGUCAAAGGCAAAUCUAUAUGGCAACUCCUCAUCUACCGGCAUAUGGCCCUCCUUCAGGAUGUCAUCAUCAACAUCCUCUGGAUAUUCCUCCUCAAAAUCACUAAAGUCAGGUUCGGAACAAAAAUCAGAAUUAGAACAAGGGGAACAAAAAUCACAACGACCCGAUUUCGGUGCCAUAUAGCAAGCUCUAUCCACAGGUGAUCCAGAAUACUUUGGUGACCCCUCAAGCUCUCACACCUACGUCACCAUACCUACCAUGGUACAACCCAAAUGUAACAUGUGAAUUCCAUAAAGGGGCAGUGGGACAUGACCUAGAUUCUUGCUUAACGCUGAAAGCCUUUGUACGAGAGCUGAUUAACAAAAAGAGCUUAGUCUUUGAAGAAGAUCACCCUAAGGUCAAGUGCAGAUACCAUACUGGAACAAUGGGGCACUCCAUCGAGGAAUGCAAGAGUUUUAAGUUCAAUCUGCAAAGAUUGAUUGACAUUAGGUCACCAACACUCAAGGAGGAAAGCUCAGGUACAUACAUCUUGAUUUCUGGGCCAAGUAGCGAGAAAGGCAAAGGACCUCAGAAACCCCUCAAGGUUUUGUACCACAAGGAAGAAGGCAGGGAGGUGGCUAACGAGAUAUCAUCAUUUCCUGAUAAGAGAAUUGAGAUAUCACCUUGGAUUUAUAAUGUCACGACCCAUGCCAACAGAAGCAAAGGAGAAAUGAGUAGUGGAUCCAAGAGGGUUGCGUCCAACGAUGAGAUUAAAUGAAAAGAAUUUGAAGAUCUUCGUGCCAAUGUCAAAAAGCUUCUUGAUCCCAACCUUCACGUGGAUGAAAAUGAGCAGUUAACAAUGCCCAAAGUGCCAUACCAGUAACCACUACCUUUUGGUCUUCAUUACCAACAAUCCUGGUUUGCUUCUCAUCCAAAUUAAAAAGCCCAAGACCCGAGAUAUCAAAAUCAGCAUAGGCCUCAAAAUAACUUGGAAAGAAGAAAUGAUCCUCGUCAUCCAAUCCUCAUGACAUAUAACCAACUUCUACAACCUCUGAUUUAAAACUCGUUGGUGGUUCCCAAGUCUCUUAAGCCGGUUCCACAACCUUACCCACCCGGGUAUGACCCAAAUGUGAAAUGUGGAUAUCAUGCCGGAUCAGAAGGGCACUCAACUGAAGACUGCGACGCUUUCAAAGCCAAAGUACAACAGCUGAUUGAUAACAAGUACAUAGCCUUUCAAGAAGGAAGCUUGGUAGUGAACGUUAACCCAUCACCCAGAUAAGUGGGAAGACCUCAAGGGGUGUCCCCCGAAGUUAAUGGAUCAAGUUUGAAGAAGUCAUUUCCCUAAAGCUGACAAUCAUUUGGUUGUUUCAGCAUUUCUUUUGUAAUUUCCUUGCAUGUUGAUUGCUAGUUGCUUUUAAGCAUUGUUGUUUUCUUUUAAUUGUAAGAUUAAUGAAAUGUUUAUGCAUCUUUUGAAUUAAUCCAUUCAUAUUCACUCAUUUUUCAUUUAUGUUAAAAACAAAAAAUAUUUCUCUCAUUCACUUCAGUUUAUCAAACCACCGUGUUAACAAAGAUUGGGAGGAGGAGGAUGAAAACGAAACACCUAAAAUUAUUGUGGUAUGCUUUUGAAGAAAACCUUGUCGAUGAUGUAAGGCAUUGUUUCAAAUCUCCAAAAACUGAAGACAUAAGGAGUUAAUCCAUAGUCAACCACUUUGAGCCUAGAAGUUGGUGUUUCUUUCGGAUCUAAAAACCCUUAAUCUUAACCCGGGGCAGGGUAGUUGUGUUCAAAUAGUUUGACCAUGCAUUCGAUCUUUCAAAAGAAUCCGUCCAUCUGUACACCCUCCAAAUAGGUUCAACCACAUGCUAUCCUUCGCACACAUGUUAAAGUGUAGAAGAAGCUAAGAAAAGAUAAAAUUAGUGUUGGUUGAUUCUCAUCCACCAAUAAUGUGGCAGUCAACACCUUUCUAAAAAAGAGAAAAAAGCCCGCUAAGUCAAAUACCACAAAAUGACUUAGGCAAAAGUUAGGGCAUCCCAAUGGACCGAAAGCUUCAAAGAAGCAGUCGAGGAAAAAUUAAGGAUAAAGAAAAACAAAAAAAGAGGUCCUCAAAUCCUCAACAAAACCAAGCAAAAUAAGGUGACUGCCAUUUUAAGAAAAUUCAUCUUGAAUCCUCAUCACACCUUUGAACCCUCUUGGAAGUCGAAUGCGUGUAUCGAAUUAACUGAAUAUAGGAAUUGGAGAUCAUCAAGAAGAAGGGGUGGGUUAAAAUUAAAUUUGAGCCUUAUAUCCUUUUGUUUAAAAAAAACGUGAACCAUGCCAAAUUACAACCCUUAAAAGACCUAAUUGAGGCAUGGUUUAUUCUGAAAGCAUACUACAACAAGGUUGUGUUAACAUGACUCCAAACGAUUUUUGUUAAUAAUUUGAUCACACCAAUAUGUGUACUGUGAAUGACUAGAUCAUCAUUAUGUUCUUAUCAGUAAUUUGUUCACUGUAUUUCACCCGUUCAUAUCAAUAAAUUUUGAUUUCAAACUUUUGCAUAAGCACCACAUGAAAAUUACCAUUUUCGAAUGAACGGUCUUAUUUGCGAGUCAACACUUAGCAUUAAAGAAAUUCCAACAAUAUACAAUUGAGGAACUUGAUAAAGUGAAAGAAGUCCAAUCAGGGGCAAAUCACUUUGAGAGUCAGUUGAUCCGAGCCAAUCACCCCAAGGUUCAGUUAGCCAAGAGUAAUUUGCUUUAAGACUCAGACUAGGGCAAGCCACCUCAAAAGCUCAUUGAGUCCAACUAGACAAGGAUAGUCAAUCAGAAGUCUACCAUUCCAGGUUUUGGUUAAUCAGGGUGAGAUCAUUGCGGUAUUCAAACAUUGGGGCAAUCCAUCUCGAGAUCGUCUCAUGUCAAGCUGUUUCAAACUCACUUUCAUGGUGAACAUUUUCAAAGAUCCAGCAGACUGGGGCAAGAUGAGCCACAGAGGGGCACAUCCCCUUCAUGCUUUCAAACUACUCAAACAAAUUCUUCCAUGUGUCAACAACUAUUGAGUUCGAGACGAGUGUCCGAAAAUCAUGCUAGUAUAGUUCAUUAGUCCUUAUAAAGGAUCCCAUUGGCAAAGUUUGUGGCUGUCAAGAUUGAUAGAAUUCUCCUUUGACAAUAUCUAUCACAUAUAUUUGGUUGAGUUCUUGGUGUUGAGGAAUCAUGAUAUCCAUAAAAAUCCUCUACAACUCCCAGUCCACUCAAGUGUCAGCAUUCUCAUAAUCAUGAUCAUUCAUAUAUCAUGCAAAUUCAAAUCAUGCAUAGCCGAAAUGUACUUCGUGUUCAUUUUGCAUUGACCCAUGUCUUGUUGUUGAUCCUAUAUCCUCUGACCUCUAAUUCCAGCUUGUCUUUGGUGCCCUUAAUCCAUCAUCCAGUUUUCGCAGUCAUCUUCCAGUCCAACUCAGUUGGAAAUUUUGUCCAUGAGGUUCAAUUCCUUUUGGGAUUAUCCGAUGAAUUUCUGGAUUACUCCUUUGUUUAUUGAUGUAUUUCUAUAACUUGUCUAAUGUAUUUCUAGAUGUUCCCUACCUAUCUGAUGUAUUCUCGGAUGUGUCUGUAUUCUGAUGUAUUUCCAGAAUUUCCUCAAUGUAUUACCGAAUGUGUCUGUAUUCUGAUGCAUUUCCAGAAUUUGUUUCUUUUACUCUCCUAUGAAUUCUCGGACAUGUCAUUUUUGUUCUGACGCACUUCUAGAACCCCUAUGACAUUCCCUAGAAUUACUUUUAGACGCAUUGGUGUCUCCAAAAAUUUAGUUGUCACUAGGCAUUAUUCCAAGUUUAGUUGUUACUAGAACUCGUUUUAAACCCAAUUGUCAUUGGCAUCACCGUCACUCCGUUUGUAAAUAUAAUCGUAAUUGGUAUCUGAAGUUUGGUUGUCACCAACAUCAUUUCAAGUCCAGUUGUUGCUGGCAAACUCCAUUGUAGUCAGUAAUUGCUUUACUAUUGCCUUCGGCAAAGUCCAAUUGUUGUUGGCAAAAUCCGUUAAAGGUUAGUUGUAAUCCAUUGCUUACAGUCAAAGUCCGAUUGUUGUUGGCAAAAUCCAUUAAAAGUUGGUUGUAAUCCAUUGCUUACGGUCAAAGUCCAAUUGUUGUUGGCAAAAUCUGUUAAAAGCUGGUUGUAAUCCAUUUCUUACGGUCAAAGUCCAAUUUUUGUUGGCAAAAUCCGUUAAAAGCUGGUUGUAAUCCAUUGCUUACGGUCAAAGUCCAAUUGUUGUUGGCAUCAAUCCGUUAAAAGCUGGUUAUAAUCCUUUUGCUUACGGUCAAAGUCCAAUUGUUGUUGGCACCUAUCCGUUAAAAGUUGGUUGUAAUCCAUUGCUUACGGUGAAAGUCUAAUUGUUAUUGGCGCCUAUCCGUUAAAAGCUGGUUGUAAUUUGUUGCUUAUGGUCAAAGUCCAAUUGUUGUUGGCACCUAUUCGUUAAAAGCUGGUUGUAAUCCAUUCUUUACGGUCAAAGUCCAAUUGUUGUUGGCACGUACAGAGAGUUUGAUUACCCUGUAUUUCCUGAUGGUUCCGUGAAAGUCAUGUAUGACUCAUCAUCUUGAGGAAUUCCCAGAAGCUUGGAGAUUUUUCGUGUUAGAAAACUCCAAUGAUGUUGGUUUUGUUUGAUUUCUUUGUAAAGAAUCAAUUCCUGAUGGUUCCGUGAAAGUCAUGUAUGACUCAUCAUCUUGAGGAAUUCCCAGAAGCUUGGAGAUUUUUCGUGUUAGAAAACUCCAAUGAUGUUGGUUUUGUUUGAUUUCUUUGUAAAGAAUCAUUGUAGCCUUUUGUGUGGAUGAUCUACUUUUAAGAAGACACCCGCUUAUCUUUGUUUUGCAUAAGUUCCCUGUUAGAAAUCUCCAGAACUUUCAGAUGUAUUCUAAAGUGUCAGGUCAUGUAUGAACUUGUUGAUGAAACUUGAUUUGUUUGUUUUCCAAUAGUGUCAGGUCAUGUAUGAACCUGUUGUUGAAGUUUUCUUUGGGUUUUCUAGUGUUGUCAGGUCAUGUAUGAAUCUGUUGUUAAAAUCUCUGUGAAACCUCCAUAAUUGUCAAGUCAUGCAUGAACCUAUGGAUAUACUUUCUUUGAAUUUUCCAGUGUCGUCGGGUCAUGUAUGAACAUGUUGAUAAAACUCCCUUUGAUUUUUCCAAGUAUUGUUAGGUCAUGUAUGAACCUAUGGAUGAAACUUACCUUGAUUAUCCUAAUGUUGAGGUCAUGUAUGAACCUAUUGAUUUAACUUUCCUUGAUUUUCUAGCAUUAUUAGGUCAUGUAUGAACCUAUUGUUGAAACACUUUGAAUUUUCCAAUGUUGUCAGGUCAUGUAUUAGCCUGUUGAUAAAGCUUUCUUUGUAUUUUUUCGGUAUUGUCAGGUCAUGUUUGAACCUGUUGAUGGAUAUUUUUAAUAUACCCCAGCAUUGUCAGGUCAUGUUUGAACCUGUUGAUGGAUAUUUUUAAUAUACCCCAGCAUUGUCAAGUCAUGUUUGAACCUAUUAUUGAAACUCUUUUAAUGUUCCAAUGGUCAGGACGUGUAUGAACUUAUUGAUGGAAUUAUUUGAUUUUUCAUGUGUUAUCAGGUCAUGUAUGAAUCUAUUGACUAAACUUUCCUUGAUAUUCAAGCUAUAAUCAGGUCAUGUAUGAAUCUAUUGACUAAACUUUCCUUGAUAUUCAAGCUAUAAUCAGGUCAUGUUUGAACCUGUUAUUCAAACCUUCUUUGUAUGUUCCCUAAUACUGUCAGGUCAUGUUUGAACUUGUUAAUUGAGCGUUCUUUCAAUAUUCAAGUGUUGUCAAGUCAUGUUUGAACAUGUUGUUGACAUUUUUUUAAUAUUCUAGUGUUGUAGGUCAUGUAUUAACAUGUUAUUAAAAUCUUUUUGCAUAUUCCCCAGUUGUCUUUCCUCUAGUAGGAUUGUUAUCCCCUGUGAAUUUCUACCCUCAUUUUUUAUUUUUUGUGGGCCACCUUUAUCAUAUGUCUACAUCAUUCUCCACAGAUCUUUGUUUCAUUUUACAUCCAUCAUAAAGCAUCUUGCUAGGGUUUAUCUUAUGUCUCAACAUAUCCCUAGCAGAUCGAAAAAAAGAGUCAUUCAUACAUUCAUAACAUGUCAUAUCAUAUCAUUUGCAUUUCAGGAUCAAAAUUCGGGUCUUCUUAGUAUUUAACUAUCUUCCACUAUGAUCAUAUGAAGAGUGUCCUGCUUCAUAUUCUCUAGUUGAAGAUACUUAAAUAGGGGCAACUGUCACACCCAAAUUUUGACUUUGAAUCACCAAUUUAACAGAUUUAUCAUAGUCAUUGCAUCUUUGCGUAUCAUAACAUCCAUUCAAUAUCGCAUAGUGCCUAAAAUAUUAGUCAAAAUAAAUUUUUAGAUCUACAGGCAAACCGGUUGAAUCAAUUGUCAAAUGUGUGCCAAAACAUUGGACGAAAAAUUUCAAAAUCAAGCUUGCAAACAUCAGUUUUAUUAAUCUAUGUUUCACGUAGUUCAACCUGGUGUGCUCGAUUUAUUUUUCUGACACAUUUUGAUCCGUCUGAGUGUUUUAACCUGGCGUUUUUCAUUUCAAAACUUGACAAAAAGUUGUGUGUUUUCGAGAAGUUUACUUUACACUGAUCAUUUUGAUGCAUUCAAUUUAAUUUUUCUAGCACUUUUGUGCCCGAUUUUUAUUCAUUUUGAGUCAUUUUAAUUUUAUUUUAUUUGUCAAAAUGUUCGAAAUAAAUAAAUAGAAUUUUCUAUGUUUUUAUUUCGAAUGAAUUUUAAUUAUUUAAACUAAUGUAAUUUUAUUUGAUUCAAUUUAUUUUUAACUAGUUUUAACACUAUUAACACUCAUUAAGGGUAUUGUGGAUAUUUGAUUUUAAAAGAAAACCCUACUAGAUUGGUAUAAGUACCAACUUGUUUACAAUGAGGGAGGAGACCACCAACGGUAAGACACAUGGCGGCGCAUCUCUUAACUCAUCCUUGACUACAUUCAUCCAUAAAACUCUUUCUCCACACACACACAUACUUCCCCUCUUUCUCAGUAAAAGAUGCAAAAGGAAAAAAGUGGGAAAACUCACUUUAUGAGAGCGACAGAACACGCAGGGGAGGGAGUUUUUCUUCUUCACUUUUCAUCACCACAUACUCCUUUCAACUACACCACAAAACAACCACAACAUAUCCUUCAUACAAUCUCCUCCAUAACUUUCUUUAAUCACUUUCACUCUUCCAAAAAACCAUCCACACCAUUGAAACCAUGCAUAAACUACACGACAACUCCGACACCACACCUUCAACAACUUGUUUCUGUUUCCGAUCGUCGUUUGCUGUAUAAAUGUUUGUUACGUUUUUCUUCUUGACUUAUCCCGCGUUAUUGUUUUUACAUUUUUUACUACUUAUUUUUAUUUUCAGUUUGUUGUAUUUGACA